UACAGAGGGGGCAAGCGUUGUUCGGAAUUACUGGGCGUAAAGGGCGCGUAGGCGGUCUUCUAAGUUGAACGUGAAAUCCCUGGGCUCAACCCAGGAACUGCGUCCAAGACUGGGAGGCUUGAAUGCGGGAGAGGGAUGCGGAAUUCCAGGUGUAGCGGUGAAAUGCGUAGAUAUCUGGAGGAAUACCGGUGGCGAAGGCGGCAUCCUGGACCGACAUUGACGCUGAGGAGCGAAAGCUAGGGGAGCAAACGGG
rnacentral:rRNA from 1 species